rnacentral:lncRNA from 1 species
ACUCCGUAUCAAAAAAGAAAAAUUAGCCAGAUGUGGUGGUGGGUGCCUGUAAUCCCAGUUACUCAGGAGGCUGAGGCAGAAGAAUCUUUUGAACCUGGGAGGCGGAGGUUGCUUUGAGCUGAGAUUGUGCCUUUGCACUCCAGUAUGGGUGACAGAGCGAGACUCCAUCUCAAAAAAACAAAAAAAAAAAGAAUUUAUACAUUGCCAUACAGAUUCACAGACAUACACUCAUAUUCACAAACACACAAAUACGAUAAACGCAGGGGCACACACAAACACCAUCACAAAAACACACUUCCAUAAAACACAGGAAUGCACGCUCACACAGAAACACGCAUGGAAACACACGUUAUCUUACAGAUUCACAGACACACUCAUCAUCACAUAAACAGGCACACACACACACAGCCACACAAGCACACACCCACACCCACAUCAACACACACACUCCCACACGGCACCCACGCGCUCACGCACAUAGGUAGAACAGGCCUGCAUUACCUGAUAACGCAGUUAGAUCAGACGUGAUGCUGCCUGCCGAGGAGACCUGGAGGCUUCCCAUGAAUGGGCUUUCGGAUGAGAGGUCUCUGGGUGCAUUUGGUGACACCCCAGGCAGUGGGGGAGACGUCCAGGCUGGAAGGCCAGCCACAGCCAGCUCUGCCCAAGGAUGCCACGUCCAUUUGCUUCAGUAGGAUAUGCACCCUGGAAACCCAGGUUCCUGCCUCUCCAGGAAACCCCACUGAGGUCAGCACACUCCCCAGGUUUAGAAGGGGUCUCUCGGUGAAAUGUGGUGACACCCCAGGCAGAAGGGGGGACGCCACAGCCAGCUCUGCCCACGGAUGUCACGUCCAUUUGCUUCAGUAGGAUCUGCACCUUGGAAACCCAGGUUCCUGCCUCUCCAGGACACCCCACUGACGUUAACACACCCUCCAGGUUUACAAGCGGUCUCUGGGUACAUUUGGUGACACCGCAGGCAGAGGGGGGACGCCACAGCCAGCUCUGCCCGCGGAUGCCACGUCCAUUUGCUUCAGUAGGAUCUGCACCCUGUAAACCCUGGUUCCUCCCUCUCUAGGACACCCCACUGAGGUCAGCACCCCCCACCCCCCACCCCCAGGUUUGUCCAGCUUCGCUGUCUGGGGAGAGACACAGAAAGACCACAUUCGGUGGAAUUCUGGCUAUAACCUUUUGUAGCCGGCAAGAAGGAUCACCAAGCUGUCCCGUUACCUUGCUGGAGCGAUCACUGGUUUCACGCUUGGCCCCCGUGCAGUUAGUGCCUGGGCCAGGCUCGAUUCCUGGAGCUCCGGUGAAAUUUGGGCUUGGAGCUCACGCCUGCACCAUCCAGAAAGCAGAAGGCAGCCGGCCCGGGCUGUACGGUUCGUAGAAUCAGAGAGAACACUGCUUGCCUUCAUGUCUGUACCACAAUAAAUCUGCCAACUGCGGUCAAAGUCUCUGGAUUCCUGCCCCCUCAUUUUAUUUUGUCUAUUACGGAGUGGAAGGAGUGAGAAAGAUUUUGCUUCCUAUUUUGUUUUGCAAAGCGCUUCUAAGAAAAACAACCCGUGUUCUGAAA